GAUGAACGCUGGCGGCGUGCCUAAUACAUGCAAGUCGAGCGAACGGACGAGAAGCUUGCUUCUCUGAUGUUAGCGGCGGACGGGUGAGUAACACGUGGAUAACCUACCUAUAAGACUGGGAUAACUUCGGGAAACCGGAGCUAAUACCGGAUAAUAUUUUGAACCGCAUGGUUCAAAAGUGAAAGACGGUCUUGCUGUCACUUAUAGAUGGAUCCGCGCUGCAUUAGCUAGUUGGUAAGGUAACGGCUUACCAAGGCAACGAUGCAUAGCCGACCUGAGAGGGUGAUCGGCCACACUGGAACUGAGACACGGUCCAGACUCCUACGGGAGGCAGCAGUAGGGAAUCUUCCGCAAUGGGCGAAAGCCUGACGGAGCAACGCCGCGUGAGUGAUGAAGGUCUUCGGAUCGUAAAACUCUGUUAUUAGGGAAGAACAUAUGUGUAAGUAACUGUGCACAUCUGGACGGUACCUAAUCAGAAAGCCACGGCCAACUACGU
rnacentral:rRNA from 1 species